GGGGGUGUAGCUCAGUUGGGAGAGCGGUUGCUUUGCAAGCAGCAUGUCGCAGGUUCCUGUCACUUCCA
rnacentral:tRNA from 1 species